AACCAGUUUGCUAAGCGCAGACGUUAUAGGAUUCAGCAGAAAGGAAUAAACAAAAUUCACACAAGGAGAAUCCCCGGCUAUAUUUGAGAAUUACGAAAACGUUUUCCGGACGUGUUGCUAUUUAACCACAAUUAACAUAACCAAAUUCUUCAUUCGCAUCCAAGCUUUGAACCAGUCAGGAUGUUGUACAAAAGUGAACAAAAGUGGUUGUUAACUAUAAGCAUUCUAGUGUGGAUACUGGCCAUAGUUCCGCACUUAACUAGUGCAAGUCCCCAUAUUGAAGAUGAACUUGACGAGAUAAAAGAAAAGUUGGAUGAAGUGUUUACCAGUACGAUGCCCAGUGAUUAUUACAA